rnacentral:rRNA from 1 species
AGUGAACGCUGGCGGUAGGCCUAACACAUGCAAGUCGAACGGCAGCACAGUAAGAGCUUGCUCUUACGGGUGGCGAGUGGCGGACGGGUGAGGAAUACAUCGGAAUCUACUUUUUCGUGGGGGAUAACGUAGGGAAACUUACGCUAAUACCGCAUACGUCCUACGGGUGAAAGCAGGGGAUCUUCGGACCUUGCGCGAUUGAAUGAGACGAUGUCGGAUUAGCUAGUUGGCGGGGUAGAGGCCCACCAAGGCGACGAUCCGUAGCUGGUCUGAGAGGAUGAUCAGCCACACUGGAACUGAGACACGGUCCAGACUCCUACGGGAGGCAGCAGUGGGGAAUAUUGGACAAAGGGCGCAAGCCUGAUCCAGCCAUACCGCGUGAGUGAAGAAGGCCUUCGGGUUGUAAAGCCCUUUUGUUGGGAAAGAAAAGCAGCAGGUUAAUACCCCGCUGUUCUGACGGUACCCAAAGAAUAAGCACCGGCUAACUUCGUG